rnacentral:lncRNA from 1 species
AGAUUCAGGGGGCUUUGCUCUGCAGAUGAUGAACAAUGGAAUCAAACAUUUAAGCUGUGAAUAAAUAAUUACUCAUUUCUCUGAUCUUUUGCGGCAAGACACCAACACCUGUCUUUAUUUUAAUUCAUUUCCCAGUGUGUUGUGGCGAGGAUGAAAUAGUGUAUCCUAGGAUGCCAGGGGAAUCCACCGUCUGCCACCGCGAGCGUGAGAAGCCAAUCACCUAUCACUGGUAUCACUGGCAUCCCGGCCAUAUAUACCCUAGAGUUGCAUCAAUGGAAGGUGUUGUGGAAAUUCAGUCAUUCAGUUCAUUCAUGAUAUGAUUUCUAGAUUCUUCAGUGUCUCAUAUUUCAGACAAUUAUAAAAUUGCGAUGCUAUAUUCUUUAUUUCAUGUGUGCAUAUUUAAAUGUGUUAAGUCAAUCACUAGUGCUACAACCAGAGGAGUAAAGGUGUAUUUCCAUUCCAGAUUUGGGUUUACUUUUAAUAGUAAAUAACAUCUCAGUGCAAAUUGUAGACAUUUUGCUGAUUGUUAAAACAUUAAUUAAAAAGGAUCUUUUUCUGAGACAGUGUUGCCAGGUUUGUAAAGUAAUGGACAUCACUUCAAACUGUUUGGAAGUAACCGAAAAAUGGAGGAAGUGGCAACAAAACUUUCCAUAUACCCACCUUCCUCAGUAUUUUUUGGUGAUCCCAUCUUUGUGAGUGUGAUAACGCUCGUAACAAUGACUGAGCCAAUAGUGAUACAUUCUUAUGAACAGAAGUCCAAGGUUAGCAUCAGUGACUGAGCCAAUAGUGAUACAUUCUUAUGAACAGAAAUCUAGGGUUAGCAUCAAGGUUCACUCUGUGUUGUCCAGCCUAUGGGUUUUGACAAACUGACAAUGUCUUUUGUCACCCUGACGGAAUAAUUUCACAUCCUACACAUGACCUGAGCUGCAUCUACUAAUUCCUCUCCUUUUCUGAGGAUUCCUGACAACUAUGGAUGAUUUUACUGCCUCUAUAGGUUUCCUUUUCCAGAAUUGUAUAGAGUUGGAAUCAUAGAGUAUGUAGCUACGUAUAACUAACUUAUUUUACUUAGCAAUAUACAUGUAAGAUCUUUUGUAUCGUUUUGAAGCUUAACAGCUUAAUAAUUCUUAUCAGUGAACAAUAGUCCAUUGGUUUCAUCGAACAGGGUUAGUUGGUUCACUCACUGCCUGAAGACCAUCUGAGCUGCUUCCAAUUUGGGUAAUUAUGAAUAAAGCUGCCCACAUUCUUGUGCAGAUUUUAAGAUGAACAUAAUUUUCUAAUUUAGCUGGGUAAAUAUGUAGAAUUUUGAUCACUUGCUGGUAAGACUAUGUUUUCCAUUGUGUUAGGCAGAAUUCACCAGUACAAUUAUGUGGGCAUUUUUUUUUAAGUUAUUACUUCCUGAUUAAAUUCUAUAAUGAUAGAGGCCUACUCAGAUUAUCUAUCUCUCCUUUGGGUGGUUAUGGUAGUUUCUCCCUUUGAAGGCAUUUGUCCAUUUCAUCUAAGCUAGGAAAUUUGUGGGUGUAGACACUUGAAUCUGACAAGUUGCCUGCUUGGUUCUCAUCAAAGGCUACUGUGCUUCCUGUCAUUCCUACUCUCAAACUUUUCAAUAGACUUUCACUCCUGCACUUAAAAAAUUGCAGGCAUAGAUUUGUUGAAAGUAUUCUGUUAUUAUUUUCUUAAUGAUUAUGGGAUCAGCAAGGAUAAUUCCUCUUCUAUUCAUAUUGUUUGUACAUCGUGUCUUCUGUAUUUUCUUUGUGAUUAGCCUUGCUGGAGGUUUACCAAUUCUAUUGAUCUUUUCUAAGAAGCAGCUUUUGGUUUUGUUGAGUUUCUUUAUUUUAUUAUUUCUAUUACAUUGAUUUCUGCAAAUAUUGUUAUAUUUUGGGGGAGGAGUGUUGCCUGGUUUACAUUACACUACACUUUUUUCUCUAGUUUCCUAAGGUGGAAAGUAAGACAUCUGGAUUUGGAUUACAUUUAGUUUACUGCACAGAAUUGUGAAUGGCACUGAUGCCCCUGAAGUGUGCACUUGAUUAUUAAAAUAAUAAAUAUGAUGUAUUUUGGCCACAAUACUGAUUUUAAAGCCAAUUAAAUGGAUGAUAAGUACAGGAGGAGCAUAUGUAGAUCAAGGAAAGAUAAAUGACAUUAUAACAUUUCAACAACAAAAGAAAUUUACCGGGCCUCAAAAUGCACAAGGGGGUGAUGGGACACUGUCAUGAAAUCAGCAGUGCAUUUGUGUGCCACCCUGUGUGAACUCUGCCUUUUUUGCAGUGGUGUGGGGGCUUAGCCAGAGAACCAGGUCCUGACUUCUGUGGCUUCCUGAUGGUCUCAUUUGCCUUCCCUCAUCACCCAGGAGGGUGUCCCAGUGGCAGCCAAGUUUCUACCCUUAACCCACCUCCUUUACACAUGCCAGCCCCCUGUCCUUAGCAUCCAAGGUUGCCUAAGGGAUUCCUUCAGUGGAACCAACAUGAUGACAGUUACUCUGUGUUUCCUAGAUUACGAUGAGGACCUGGUGCAGGAAGCUUCAUCUGAAGAUGUCCUGGGCGUUCAUAUGGUGGACAAAGACACAGAGAGAGACAUUGAGAUGAAACGGCAACUACGGCGACUACGGGAGCUCCACCUAUACAGCACAUGGAAGAAGUACCAAGAGGCGAUGAAGACAUCCUUGGGAGUUCCACAAUGUGAGCGUGACGAAGGCUCCUUGGGCAAGCCAUUGUGUCCACCCGAGAUACUCUCGGAGACGUUGCCAGGCUCUGUGAAGAAAAGGGUAUGCUUUCCAUCAGAAGAUCAUCUAGAGGAGUUUAUAGCAGAACAUCUCCCUGAAGCAUCCAAUCAGAGUCUCCUCACUGUUGCCCAUGCAGACACAGGCAUCCAAACCAACGGUGACCUGGAAGACCUGGAGGAGCAUGGGCCAGGGCAGACAGUCUCUGAGGAAGCCACAGAAGUUCACAUGAUGGAGGGGGACCCAGACACACUGGCCGAACUUCUGAUCAGGGAUGUACUUCAGGAGCUGUCCAGUUACAACGGCGAGGAGGAGGACCCAGAGGAGGUGAAGACAUCCUUGGGAGUUCCACAACGUGGUGACCUGGAAGACCUGGAGGAGCAUGUGCCAGGGCAGACAGUCUCUGAGGAAGCCACAGGGGUUCACAUGAUGCAGGUGGACCCAGCCACGCCGGCAAAGAGUGACCUGGAAGACCUGGAGGAGCAUGUGCCAGGGCAGACAGUCUCUGAGGAAGCCACAGGGGUUCACAUGAUGCAGGUGGACCCAGCCACACUGGCAAAGCAAUUGGAAGACUCCACCAUUACAGGCAGCCACCAGCAGAUGUCAGCAAGUCCUUCCUCUGCACCUGCAGAAGAAGCAACAGAAAAGACCAAAGUGGAAGAGGAAGUGAAAACCAGAAAGCCCAAGAAGAAAACCAGGAAGCCCAGCAAGAAAAGCCGGUGGAAUGUCCUGAAAUGUUGGGACAUUUUUAAUAUAUUUUAGAGACCUCUGAAGAUUCCUCGACCACCAGGAAGGGCCCCGACGUGGGGAUGUCAACAUGGCUCAGACUUGAUGUGGAUCGUGAUCAUUUCGGGAAAUGUGUUACUCCAAAAACUUUUAUAAUCUUUGCUUAAUUUGUUUUUAAAUACUUUCCUGGCUGGGCGUGGUGGCUUAUGCCUGUAAUCCCAGCACUUUGGGAGGCCGAGGCGGGUGGAUCACCUGAGGUCAGGAGUUAAAGACCAGCCUGGCCAACAAGGUGAAACCCCGUCUCUACUAAAAAUACAAAAAUUAGCUAGGCGUGGUGGCGCACUCUUGUAGUCCCAGCUAUUUGGGAGGCUGAGGCAGGAGAAUCACUUGACCUCAGGAGGCGGAGGUUGCAGUGAGCCGAGAUCAUGCCACUGCACCCCAGCACCUGGCUACAGAGUGAGACUUUGUCUCAAAAAAAAAAAAAAAAGAACAAAAAAAUUCUGACUUUAACCUCUGUUUUUCAGAGGGCACAAAUUGUUCUUGUAUUGUUUCCAUUUUACAUUUUUUUCUUGAAGUUAUUUUCCAAUUGUUUUCAUUCUUUCUGAAGUUUUGUUUACUCGGUUUUAAGUUUUUGUAAUUUUGAUAGACUUUUGUGCUUUCAUUUUCUUAAUGACUUUUACCUCAUUUUUAAAACAAAUCCAUAGUAUGGAUGAUAUUGAUGAUGAAAUGUCUUACGAUGAUCAUUUAGAGGUUUAUUUUGAACAACUGGCAAUUCCAGGAAUGAUGGAAUAAAGCAUACGAAGUAGAAGGACUGGAACCUCCAGAAAAAGUACUUUAAGUUACCUACAGGUGAUCCUAGUCAGGUAUGAAUUGAUAAGAAAUGCCUGCACCUUCCCUCCUUCCUAUCUUUCCCUUGCCUACAGAAAAUUAAAAGGCAAAACAAUAGACAUCUGCAUAUUCUUCAUUCAGAUCAACCAGUGGCUAGCAUUUGCCACCUUUUGCAGUUUCUUUCUCUUUCCAUAAGUACUUUCUUCUCUGAAUCAUUUGAAAGCAAAUGAAAACAGUAGCCUAAAGUGUCAGUUUCAACCAGAAAAUAACAGCUCUGAUUUCUCAUGGCUCAUACUCGUCUGAAACGACUCAGGUAGAGGCUGAGGAAGGCCGUGUUGUUUGUCUACCUGGGACUACACCUACUGAAAGAAGUUCUCAAGUUCUGAUUGAGUUCUAAAAUUUUUUGAAGAUUGGAAUUCUUCAUAUGUAAAAAGAGAAGAGAAAGACAUUCUUGAUUUUGGUGACUAGAGUUGUAGAUGCUGGAAGCUUUGCCACUAACAUUGAUGAACCAGAUGCAUGUCACCAGCCCAUCACGGGCACCAUGGGCCCGGCACUGCCACGUUUUCCAAGGAACCUGCCGGAGCUCCUGCGGAAGCUGCUCCUCAGGCGAUGGAGUCCCUUCGCUGGUAGGCCCUUCUUCAGUCACCACAGGAUGCCUGCCAUUCAUGAACAAGAAGGAGAGGACGGGCUUUGAAUAAAAAACAGGAUCCAGGAAAUAUUUGUGAGGCCAUUUGGACUUCAGUGUGAAAUGGUGUUAAAAGAUGAAGUCAUUUAUUCAAGAAGUAAACCUCUGCCACCUGGACUGUGCGCAGACAUUUCAUUGAUUUUGUUUAAUAAACAUUUUCUGGCUUUGGGAGGUGUCUCUCUUGGUAGAACACAGUGUCAAAGAUGGACAAGAUGGACACAUAGUCCAUUAUUUGGUAUUGUUUGUGUAUGGGAGCAGACCACAAAUUAAUGUUUGGAGAACAAUUUUGUCAUAACACACUGUUGAGGCUCAGUUGUACAGAACUGGAAAAGUCUUCAGCUUGGCACAUGUCCUGAUUCAGCCUUUGUUUAACAUAUAUUCCAAUCCGGAUUCUAUCUUCACUGGCUACAAAGACCACCUGAUACGUGCACCACGACACAGGAGCUGCUGGAGAGGGGGUAGUGUUAUCACCUCAAACCCACAGCCAUAUUUUUCAAAAGCCAGCUUAGAGAGAGGUGUACUGAUAGCUGCAUAGAGAACAUGCAGUCCAUCCAUUCUUCCCAGUGAUGUACAUUUCUCAAUCAGUAACCACGUGGUAUACCAGCCUUGAGUGUCACAUCUCCCAACCAUACCAAAUGGAUCACCUAACUGGAGGUGGGGGGGGCCCUCAGAAAUGAGAUUUCGUAUUUACUGUAAAAUUGCCUUAUUUUUUCUUUUGAGGUGGAGUCUCACUCUGUUGCCUGGGCUGGAGUGCAAUGGUGUGAUCACUGCUCACUGCAACCUCCGCCUCCUGGGUUCAAGCAGUUCUCCUGCCUCAGCCUCCCAAGUAGCUGCAAUUACAGGUGCAUGCCACCACUCCCAGCAAAUUUUUAUAUUUUUAGUGGAGACAGGGUUUCACCAUGUUGACCAGGCUGGUCUCAAACUCCUGACCUCAGGUGAUCUGCCCACCUUGGCCUCCCAAAGUUCUGGGAUUAAAGGUACGAGCCACCGCAACUGGCUGAGAAUCUUUUUAUUUGCUGAUUUGUCUCUUGUGUAUUUUCUUUGUUCAGAUGUCUCUUCAGAUCUUUUUCUCACUUUUAAAUUGUUUUUUAAUUGUUAAGAAUUUUCUGUCUAGUUUAGAUAUAAGCCCUUUAUCAGACAUGUGUUUUGCAAAUAUUUUCUCCUAGUCUGUGGCUUGUAUUCUGUCUCUUAACACUCAUUUUAUUUUUACUUUUGGAACUAAAGAAGAAGAAUGGUCAGCUUUCCAUUAUUCUUGUAACAGUAAUGGCAGAACCAAGUCUGCUAAUGCUACACUGAGCAAAGAAAGUCACCUGGUGAAGUCCAACAUUAAUGAAAUGGGGUAGUACAUGCAGGCAGCGUUGGGGGUGGGGAGGGAACAAAUGCUUCUUGAGAGUAAUAUAAUCUGCCAUACCAUCCAGGAACCUACAAUGGCUAUCUAUUACCUUAUUCUCUGGUUUGUUUAAUGUUCGAAUCUUUCCGAAAGAUCCUUCAACCUUUCUGGAAGAAUCUAAUCUGAUAACACCAUCAAAAACACAUUACUUCUUUUGGCAUAAUUUAAAUUGUAAGACAUCAUUCACAUUUAUCAAUGUUACAUAUAUAAGAACUCACCCACCAUAUUCUUCCUUGAGGAAUUACAGCAUGUAAUUCUAUAAUCAUUUUUAUAAUCGUCUAACAAUUUUAUAAUGGAUUGGUUGCUUACUAUCAAUUUUUUAAAAGUCAUGGCUUCUCCAGUCAUUUCUUGCUUAUCGAAAUUAUUUCAUGAGAUGGGUCUCUCCUUGUAUAUUUGAAAAUGAGGUUUGCUUCCUUCUACUUAAAAAACAACUUGAACAUACCUGUUUGGAUCACAUGGUCUUGUCCUGAUAACUUGGAAGAGGUUGCUUCAGCAUUGUUCUUAUUGUUGUGGUGGUUAUUAUUAAUAUUGUUUCAUAUUCUGUUUAAAAAAUUAAAAUUUUACACAAGACCAAUGUCUUCUUUUCAAUUCCAGUACAUUUUUCAGAAGUAACUAAUGCUAUUGGCUUUGUGCAUUGUAAUUUCAGACCAUUUUAUAUGUCUUUAGUUAUAUGUACAGUAUACACACAUAUGUGUCAUAUUAUUCCAUUUUUUCUAGCAUUAAACAUUGCUAUGGAAAACUCUCGGAAAAAUAUUUAUUUGAACAGAACUUUUUCUUUUCUCAGAUGUACCCUCCUUAGGAAUCUUUCUUUGAUCCUUGAAGUUUGGUAACAACUUUAAAUAUGUGUAUCCCAGCUGGGAGCAGCGGCUCACACCUGUAAUUUCAGCACUUUGGGAGGCCGAGGAGGGUGGAUCACCUGAGGUCAGGAGUUUGCCUGGCCAACAUGGUGAAACCCCGUCUUUACUGAAAAUACAAAAAGUUAGCCAGGUGUGGUGGCUGGCACCUGUAAUCCCAGCUACAUGGGAGGCUGAGGCAGGAGAAUCGCUUGAACCUAUAGAGACAAGGUUUCACCAUGUUGACCAGGCUGGUCUCGAACUCCUGACCUCAGGUGAUCCACCCACCUCAGCCUCCCAAAAUGCUGGGAUUACAGGCAUGAGCCAUUGCACCCAGCCAUACAGGAGCAAGUUUAAAAAUUAAAUAUUUAUUUGAAUAACAAGCUUACAUUGGAGCUGCAAUGUUGGCAAUCCAGAUUUUGAACACGGAUCACAAAAAGCAUGCAUAAAAUCCUACUGGCCCAGAGAACAAAACACUGCUCAGAAUUAAGCGAAAUAGCUGCUACUGUUAAGAAAACAGGCCUGAAAUCAAUAUACAAGAUUUUAAAAAAUGUAUUGGCCGGAUGCAGUGGCUCAUUCCUGUAAUUCCAGAACUUUGGGAGGCCAAGACAGGAGAAUCACCUGAGGUCAGGAGUUCAAGACCAGCCUGGCCAACAUGGUGAAACUCCAUCUCUACUAAAAAUAAAAAAUUAGCUGGGUGUGGUGACACAUGCCUGUAGUCCCAGCUACCUGGGAGGCUGAGGCAGAAUAAUUUCUCGAACCCAGGAGGAGGAGGUUUGCAAUGGCAUGAUCUCUGCUCACCGCAACCUCCGCCUCCCGGGUUCAAGCAAUUCUCCUACUUCAGCCUCCCGAGUAGCUGGGAUUACAGGCAUGUGCCACCAUGCCUGGCUACUUUUCUGUAUUUUUAGUAGAGACAGAGUUUCUCCAUGUUGGUCAGGCUGGUCUUGAACUCACAACCUCCGGUGAUCUGCCUGCCUCGGCCUCCCAUAGUGCUGGGAUUACAGGCAUGAGCCACCAUGCCUGCCCAUGAAAGCACUUUUAAAAAGAGAGCACCUCUGCUGCCUGGUCAUAUUCUGUACCUGUUCCCAAACCCUGAAACCAGUGAUGUCAAUGGCUGCGUGGGCAUUGAACGUGUACAUGAUUCCUGCAGCUUUCCUGUUGACCUGGACCAUGUUCAUCAAUGCUUUUUGGUACAUUAAUUCUACAUCUUCUUCGGUGACCACAGUUUAUGUUUAUUUCAUUUUUCAGGAAUAUCCAGCCACUGGUGCACAGCCAUUGCCACUUGUGCCCCCAGGGGAUCUUGUCAACUCCAGUAUGUCCCCCCAGCACUGUGUUAUCUGGCAUAAUAAAUGUAGUUGGGCUGUAGUUGUAGUGACUCCUCCCAAAACAACCCAGGAGUUUAAUACUGUUUGGCCACCGGUUACAGACAUUGCUGCCCCUUCCGCUGCGGCUUUAAAAGCCUAUCUAAUCGGCUGGGUGUGAUGGUGGCUCAGACCUAUAAUCCCAGCACUUUGGGAGUCCAAGGUGGGUGGAUCACCUGAGGUCAGGAGUUUGAGACCGGCCUGGCCAACAUGGUGAAACCCCAUCUCUACUAAAAAUACAGCAAAUUAGCUGGGCGUGGUGGCGCAUGACUGUAAUCCCAGCUACUCGGGAGGCUGAGGUAGGAGAAUUGCUUGGGUGGCAGAGUAAGACUCCGUCCCAAAAAAAAAAGUUAUCUAAUCAGGGACGUCACCUUUCCCUGCCAGUCAUUUUGUUACCAAUGAAAGAAAACAUAUUCAAAUCAAUUUUUAGUUCAGAAAAUGUUUCUUUCAUUGUAUCUUUGAAUUUUAUUGUUCUGCAUUUUUUACUUCAAAAACACCUACUAUAUGCAUUUUUUCUCUCGUUUCCUUUUUUUUCCAAGAAAUGUUUUUGUCCUUUUGAUUUUUUCACUGACCAUUACCAUUAUUUAUAUACCAUGUACCUGGAGAGUUUCCAAUGUUUCUCUUUGGUCUGAGAUACUUGCUAUGAUUUUCACUUUUUAAAUGCUCUUUUGAGAUUUGUUUUGUGGCCUAAAAUGUGGUCUAUCCUGGAGAAUGUUCUGUGAGCUGAUGAGAAGAAUGCACGUUCUGCAGUUGGUGGGUGAAAUGUUCUGUAAUUACCUGUGAGGUCCCUUUGACUUCUCUUGGAGUCAGUCUGGUCUGUUACUUUUCUGCCUAGAGGGUGUGUCUGUUGCUGAAAGUGGGUGUUGGAGUCCCCAGCUAUUAUUGUCUGUCUCUGUCUGUUGCUCGAAUAACUCUUACUUUAAUAACUGGGGCUCCUGUGUCAGGUGUGUUUACAUUGACAACUGUCCUACCUUCUUGCUGAAUUGAUCUCUUUAUCGUUUUAUAAUGACCUUUAUUUUCUAUUUUUGUGCUUUUUUGACUUAAAGCCUACUUUGUGUGACAAGCAUAGCUAUACAUACUCACUUUUGGUAACACUUUUCAUUUCUUAUCAUCUUCAUUGAAUCUCACUUCUUCACAUUUACCAAAAUGUCUACUUUUGAGCUGUGGCACCUCUUUGAAUCUUCAGAUCCACCACAUGCUGAUCAAGCCUUCCUUUUUGUCUGUACUCUGAGGAAUCCCAAACAGGCAUUUUUGCAAGAAAGUCUAGGAGGGAAACAUAAAUCUAUGUGUCAAAAAAAUGAACAUAGAAAAUAAUGUGUCCUGGUUAACAAAAGUUCUCAUUGUAAAGUGUUAGGCACAAGACUAUGGAAUUUCAUGUGCCAUAAAUAAAAUUGUCUUGAUUUGUCUAAAACUACAUUUUGUCUAAAACUACUUUUAAAAAUUACAUGUUACUCUAAUA